GAUGAACACUGGCGGCGUGCCUAAUACAUGCAAGUCGAGCGAACAGACGAGGAGCUUGCUCCUCUGACGUUAGCGGCGGACGGGUGAGUAACACGUGGAUAACCUACCUAUAAGACUGGGAUAACUUCGGGAAACCGGAGCUAAUACCGGAUAAUAUAUUGAACCGCAUGGUUCAAUAGUGAAAGACGGUUUUGCUGUCACUUAUAGAUGGAUCCGCGCCGCAUUAGCUAGUUGGUAAGGUAACGGCUUACCAAGGCAACGAUGCGUAGCCGACCUGAGAGGGUGAGCGGCCACACUGGAACGGAGACACGGUCCAGACUCCUACGGGAGGCAGCAGUAGGGAAUCUUCCGCAAUGGGCGAAAGCCUGACGGAGCAACGCCGCGUGAGUGAUGAAGGUCUUCGGAUCGUAAAACUCUGUUAUUAGGGAAGAACAAAUGUGUAAGUAACUAUGCACGUCUUGACGGUACCUAAUCAGAAAGCCACGGCUAACUACGUG
rnacentral:rRNA from 1 species